rnacentral:rRNA from 1 species
GGAAUUGACGGGGACCCGCACAAGCAGCGGAGCGUGUGGUUUAAUUCGUUGCUACACGAAGAACCUUACCUGGGUUUGACAUAUAGGUUGUAGGGAACUGAAAAGGACCGACCUUCGGGGAGCCUAUACAGGUGUUGCAUGGCUGUCGUCAGCUCGUGUCGUGAGAUGUUCGGUUAAGUCCGCUAACGAGCGCAACCCUCGUCGUAUGUUAUAUGUGUCAUACGAGACUGCCGGUAAAAGCCGGAGGAAGGUGAGGAUGAUGUCAAGUCAGCAUGACCUUUAUAUCCAGGGCUACACACACGCUACAAUGGUCUGUACAAUGGGUAGCCAAGCCGCGAGGCGGAGCCAAUCCUGAAAGCAGGCCUCAGUUCAGAUUGCAGUCUGCAACUCGACUGCAUGAAGCCGGAGUUGCUAGUAACCGCAGGUCAGCAAUACUGCGGUGAAUACGUUCCCGGGUCUU